UACGAAGGGGGCUAGCGUUGCUCGGAAUCACUGGGCGUAAAGCGCACGUAGGCGGGUUGCUAAGUCAGGGGUGAAAUCCUGGAGCUCAACUCCAGAACUGCCUUUGAUACUGGCGAUCUCGAGUCCGGGAGAGGUGAGUGGAACUGCGAGUGUAGAGGUGAAAUUCGUAGAUAUUCGCAAGAACACCAGUGGCGAAGGCGGCUCACUGGCCCGGUACUGACGUUGAGGUGCGAAAGCGUGGGGAGCAAACAGG
rnacentral:rRNA from 1 species